CCCACUCUUCUUCUUCUCUCUCAUGCAGUCCCUGUCUCUCUAAUGGGAAAACAGUAAACCAUCUGUCUAAUUGUAGAAGCUUACUCAAAAACUUUCUUCUGCUGACUCAAAUAUAUUCACACCAAAACUCUACACUUCCUUCCUCACCCUUUCCCCUUAUGCAAAAAUGCUUCUCCUUUUCCUUUCCUUUCUCUUCCUCACGUUCCCUUCACCUUCCCUUUCGCUCAACCAAGAAGGCCUAUACCUUCUCCAAGUCAAAGCCUCCCUUCACGACCCUGACUCCACCCUUUCUUCAUGGAACCCUCGUGACCCAACCCCAUGCAACUGGCGUGGCGUUUCCUGUGACUCAACCACUGGCUCCGUCACCUCCCUUGACCUCUCCAACACCAACCUCGCCGGCCCUUUUCCUUCCCUCCUUUGCCGUCUCCAAAACCUUUCCUCCAUUAACUUCUACUACAACAAUUUCAAUUCCACGAUCCCUACUGACAUCUCCACGUGUCAAAAUCUCAUCCACCUUGAUCUCUCCCAGAACCUCAUCACCGGUGAACUCCCCCACACUUUGGCUGACCUCCCUAACCUUAAAUACCUCGAUUUAACUGGUAACAAUUUAUCGGGAGAUUUUCCGGAGUCCUUCGGUCGGUUCCAAAAACUCGAGGUUUUGUCUCUCGUUUACAACCUCCUAGAUGGUACAAUCCCCGCAUUUUUGGGAAACAUUAGUACCCUAAAAAUGCUUAAUCUAUCGUACAACCCGUUUAGUCCGGGUCGGAUCCCACCGGAGCUUGGCAACUUAACCAACUUGGAGAUUUUGUGGCUCACCGAGUGUAAUUUAGUCGGCGAGAUUCCUGACUCGCUGGGUCGACUCAAGAAACUCACUGAUUUAGACCUCGCCAUUAAUCAUUUUGUGGGGAACAUCCCUAGCUCGCUCACUGAGUUGGUUAGUGUAGUCCAGAUUGAGCUGUACAACAACUCGUUGACUGGCGAGUUACCUCGCGGAUUCUCGAAAUUGACCAAGUUGAGACUCCUCGACGCGUCGAUGAACCAAUUAACGGGAAAUAUUCCGGACGAGUUGACUCAGCUGCCACUCGAAAGUCUCAACCUUUACCAGAACAACUUUGAAGGAACAUUACCGCCGAGUAUCGCCGACUCUCCAGCUCUAUACGAACUCAGAAUCUUUCAAAACCAACUCAGCGGAGAGUUACCCCAAAACCUUGGCAAAAACUCGGCGCUUAGAUGGCUCGACGUCUCCAGCAACCAAUUUACCGGUCCUAUACCGCCGAGUUUAUGCGAGAAAGGGAAGCUAGAGGAGAUUCUAAUGAUAUACAACUCGUUUACGGGUCAAAUACCGUCCACUUUAGCAGAAUGUGGGAGCCUGUACCGGGUCCGACUUGGUUACAACAAAUUAUCCGGUGAAAUACCCCCCGGGUUCUGGAGUCUCCCUCACGUUUAUUUACUCGAGCUUGUUAAUAACUCGUUCUCGGGACCAAUUGGGAAAUCAAUUGCAAAGGCAGCGAAUUUAUCGCUUUUGUUUAUAUCUAGGAACGAGUUUAGUGGAUCAUUGCCCGAAGAAAUUGGUUUAGUUGAUAAUUUAGUUCAACUUUCUGCUAGUGACAAUAAAUUUAGUGGGUCGUUGCCUAAUAGUAUAGUCAAGCUUGAUGAACUAGGGAUUCUAGAUCUUCAUGGGAAUGAAUUGCAAGGGGAAUUGCCUAGUGGAAUUGAGUCUUUGAAGAAGUUAAACGAGUUGAAUUUAGCUAAUAAUAAGUUUUCAGGGGAGAUUCCUGAUGGAAUAGGGAGUUUGUCAGUGUUGAAUUACCUUGAUUUGUCUAAUAAUCAGUUAACGGGAAGUAUUCCGUUCGGUUUGCAGAAUCUGAAGCUUAAUCAGCUUAACCUGUCCAAUAAUUUGUUAUCCGGUGAGCUACCGCCUUUGUUUGAUAAAGAAAUGUAUAAAAACAGCUUCUUGGGAAAUCCUGGUUUGUGUGGAAAUUUCAGUGAUUUGUGUGUUGUGAGGGAUGGAGAUAAGCAUAAAGGUUAUGUUUGGUUGCUUAGAUCCAUUUUUGUUUUAGCAGCUCUGGUGUUUGUUGUUGGUGUGGUUUGGUUUUACUUCAAGUACAGGAGUUAUAAGAAAGCUAGGGCCAUUGAUAAGUCUAAGUGGACUUUGAUGUCGUUUCAUAAGUUGGGUUUUAGUGAAUAUGAGAUAUUGGAUUGUCUUGAUGAGGAUAAUGUGAUAGGGAGAGGAUCUUCAGGGAAAGUUUACAAGGUUGUGCUUAGUAAUGGAGACGCUGUUGCUGUGAAGAAGCUUUGGGAAGGAGUGAAAAAGGGUUGUGAGAGUGUAGAUCUUGAGAAAGGUCAGGCUCAGGUUCUGGAUAAUGGGUUUCAAGCUGAGGUCGAGACUUUGGGGAAGAUUAGGCACAAAAAUAUUGUUAAGUUAUGGUGUUCUUGUGCUACCAGGGAUUGCAAGCUUUUGGUGUACGAAUACAUGCCUAAUGGUAGCUUGGGUGAUUUGUUGCAUAGUAGUAAAGGCAGUUUGCUGCAUUGGCCGACGAGGUACAAGAUUAUUGUGGAUGCAGCGGAGGGGCUUUCUUAUUUGCAUCAUGAUUGUGUACCUCCAAUUGUGCAUAGAGAUGUCAAGUCCAAUAAUAUCUUGUUGGAUGGGGAUUUUGGCGCUAGAGUGGCUGAUUUUGGAGUUGCUAAGGUGGUUGAUGCUGCUGGAAAGGGUGCUAAGUCUAUGUCUGCUAUUGCUGGGUCUUGUGGUUACAUUGCUCCAGAGUAUGCAUAUACUCUUAGAGUGAAUGAGAAGAGUGACAUAUACAGUUUCGGCGUAGUUAUACUUGAGUUAGUGACAGGCAGACUCCCAAUUGACCCGGAGUUUGGGGAGAAGGACCUGGUAAAGUGGGUCUGCACCACUCUAGAUCAGAAAGGAGUGGACCAUGUUCUUGAUUCCAAACUCGAUCCUUGCUUCAAAGAAGAAAUAUGCAAGGUCCUCAACAUUGGACUCCAAUGCACAAGUCCACUCCCAAUCAACCGCCCUUCAAUGAGAAGGGUGGUGAAGAUGUUGCAAGAAGCUGGUGCUGAGAACCAGCCGAUGGCUACUAAAAAGGAUGGGAAAUUGACUCCUUAUUACUAUGAAGAUGCCUCUGAUCAAGGAAGUGUAGCUUGAGAAAAAUUUUGCUCGUUGCAAAAACUAGGCCACAAACAAGGGUGUGGUACUGGAAGGAGUGAAUUUUUCUUGCUCUCAAGUUUUGCUUUUCAAUCAUUGUACCCACUUGAUGUUUGCUUUACAGGUUGGUUUAGCGGAGAGGUGAGACAGUAGGGGUUGAAAUUAUCACACUAAGAGAGAGAGGGUGGGAGGUAGAUUUAUUAAGGAGUUAAUGUACUCUGUAAAUUUAUUAACAAUGAAGGUUUUAUUCCACUAUCUACAAAAAAGGCUACUUACCAACUGCAUUAAGAUUUUAAGGCCCUUGAAAAUGAUUUUCACACUGAUGAAAGUGAUUUGCAGACUUUAUGUUUAGCACCUCAGCCAAGUGACAUUUGAGUCACCAACCACCUUAAUGAAUAAACCGUGUAAAACAUGACACCAAAUCCACAUUAAACCUGUGCUAUUGCCAGGUUAAAAAGGAUUCACUACUCUUAGAGACAAGAUUUUACUGUGGUUUAGCCCUUUGGUAAUCAUAUCACCUGCAUAUAAUAACAUUAAUAUGCCGUAAAAUCUGUUAAGUCGUUAGGUAAGGUUGGUUCCAAUGGGCCCUAAGCCAUUUAUUCUAGUGGCGCUCUUUGCUUCUGCUGCAUAUUAUUGCUCUACUUAUCGAGACUCAAAAUCCACACAUCAAUUCGAAAGUGACGACGGACAAGACUCGUAGGCACAAAGCGUUUCCGAGGAUUUGACAGUUUAAUACGACAUUAAACCACCACCAACAUCCUUCUUUCACUGCUGCUGCCAGCUUUGCAGUGAUCCAUAAUGCUUCGAGCACUGCAUCCGACAGUUCAAAUGCUGGUCACUAAAGCCAAACUCGUGUACUUCCUGCAAGCAAGAUAAACCAAAAUUCCAACAUAAUGGGCCACUAUAUAAUACACUGGUUUUUUGUUUCUUCCAUAGUUAGGCUAGGCUUUGCUUUCAACAUAAUUUAGAAAGUCCUAUAUGCUCUGCUUUCUAUUAACAACUGCUUUGACAUGAUAGAUUUUUGGGUCUUUUUCUUUGCAGCUCAUCCUCUUCUUCUCUUUCCUUAAUUCACUAUGAUUUUGUUACCGAAAGAAGGAACAUGGGUUGAUAAGAAUAAUUCCCAUGAUAAGAAUAAUUUUUAGUUUCACUGUCUCUUUCUAAAUAAUAUGCUAGUUGUCAUGUGGAAACAGAUUUUUACUGUUAUAAAAUUUCCUGUACGUGGAAUCCGUUAGCAGUGUGGCUGCAGCAAAGACAAGAAGGUGGUUUGGAACAUCUCUGCAAAGAAAUCUUGUUGCAAUAAAGGCUAUAGAUGAACCACGCUAAUCCAAUAAAACCAAAAAAAAAAAAAUCCUCUCUUCUAGCCUUGGCUUAAAAUUUUUGUUAGUAACACCAGAACUGCUGCUACUUGUAGAUCCAGUGCAGCACAGAUUUGUCGUUCUCUCCUUACUUUCUUCCAUAAAAGCCAGAUCUAAGUUCCAGUUUCACCCUUAUCUUUUGGAUUGAGGAAAGAUACCAAGCAUGGAUAGGUACCUUUUAGUAAUUGGGAAAAUUGUAAGUAGUUAACGGUGCGCGAGUGGCUUAAAGGUCUGAAAAUGCCCUCUCUCUAAAACUACUGAAACACAUUGAAUGCAGUUCCUCGGUAAUUGGGAAGGGAGGCAUCAUACUUGAAACGUCAAAAUCUAUGGAAAACUAUCUCCCCCUCUUUUUUUUUUUUAAUGGUCCCCAUAUCUAUUGUCUAUUAAUAAGAAAAUUCUUUCAUUGAAAUGUAUUAAGUUUGAAACUCUUCUCAAUCCAAUUAUCUAUCAAGCUUCCUUAUGCUCAGGGAAAGGACAAAAAUGACAGCAUUUCGGGUCUAGUACUAUCGUGAAUAUAGCCCCUUUUUUUAUGAU